rnacentral:rRNA from 1 species
GAUAAACGCUGGCGGCGUGCUUAACACAUGCAAGUCGAACGAAGUUUUUCCUUCGGGAGAAACUUAGUGGCGGACGGGUGAGUAACGCGUGGGUAACCUGCCCUGUACAGGGGGACAACAGCUGUAAACGGCUGCUAAUACCGCAUAAGCCCUUAGCACUGCAUGGUGCAUAGGGAAAAGGAGCAAUCCGGUACAGGAUGGACCCGCGUCUGAUUAGCCAGUUGGCAGGGUAACGGCCUACCAAAGCGACGAUCAGUAGCCGAUCUGAGAGGAUGUACGGCCACAUUGGGACUGAGACACGGCCCAGACUCCUACGGGAGGCAGCAGUGGGGAAUAUUGCACAAUGGAGGAAACUCUGAUGCAGCGACGCCGCGUGAGUGAAGAAGUAUUUCGGUAUGUAAAGCUCUAUCAGCAGGGAAGAAAAUGACGGUACCUGACUAAGAAGCACCGGCUAAAUACGUG